UACGUAGGGGGCUAGCGUUGUCCGGAUUUAUUGGGCGUAAAGAGCGUGUAGGCGGCCCGGCAAGUCCGCUGUGAAAGUCGGGGGCUCAACCCUCGAAUGCCGGUGGAUACUGUCGGGCUAGAGUGCGGAAGAGGCGAGUGGAAUUCCUGGUGUAGCGGUGAAAUGCGCGGAUAUCAGGAGGAACACCGAUUGCGAAGGCAGCUCGCUGGGACGUCACUGACGCUGAGACGCGAAAGCGUGGGGAGCAAACAGG
rnacentral:rRNA from 1 species